rnacentral:rRNA from 1 species
AGAGUUUGAUCAUGGCUCAGAAUCAACGCUGGCGGCGUGCCUAACACAUGCAAGUCGAGCGAGAAAAGGGUAGCAAUAUCCUGAGUAAAGCGGCGCACGGGUGAGUAACACGUGGGUAAUCUGCCCUGGAGUGGGGAAUAACACCGGGAAACCGGUGCUAAUACCGCAUACGAUCGCGAGGUCUGCGGACUUUGUGAUGAAAGGAGCAAUUCGCUCUAGGAGGAGCCCGCGGCUGAUUAGCUAGUUGGUGAGGUAAUGGCUCACCAAGGCUACGAUCAGUAUCCGGUCUGAGAGGACGGUCGGACACACUGGAACUGAGACACGGUCCAGACUCCUACGGGAGGCAGCAGUGGGGAAUUUUUCGCAAUGGGGGCAACCCUGACGAAGCAACGCCGCGUGGGUGAUGAAGUAUCUCGGUACGUAAAACCCUUUCGACGGGGAAGAAACCGCAAGGUUGACGGUACCCGUAGAAGAAGCCCCGGCUAACUCCGUGCCAGCAGCCGCGGUAAUACGGGGGGGGCAAGCGUUGUUCGGAAUUACUGGGCGUAAAGGGUGCGUAGGCGGUCCGCUAAGUUGGAUGUGAAAACUCUGGGCUUAACCCAGAGCCUGCAUUCAAAACUGACGGGCUAGAGUUCUGGAGGGGGUAGCGGAAUUCCUGGUGUAGCGGUGAAAUGCGUAGAUAUCAGGAGGAACACCGGUGGCGAAGGCGGCUACCUGGACAGAAACUGACGCUGAGGCACGAAAGCUAGGGGAGCAAACAGGAUUAGAUACCCUAGUAGUCC